AAUUCUAGAAUCUGGGAACCUGGAUUGGAGUGCGCUUCAGGGGCGCGUGGAAACACCCAGGAGGCUGCGGCGACGGCGCAGCCUGGGACUGCCAGGAGCGCCGGGCGCGAAGCGGCCGGGUGCCGCUUGGCCUCUGACACGAGGCUGGCCGCGGAUGGGGCCCGAAGAUGUUCAGCCAAGCCCAUGUGAAGCAACAAUCAAGGUGGUUGCAGUUUUAUAAAGAAGCUGGGCGUUUU
rfam:Ovis aries breed Texel chromosome 15, whole genome shotgun sequence.